CCCUUAGAUGUCCUGGGCCGCACGCGCGCUACACUGAGUGUCUGAGAUACGAGUCUGCCUGGUCCGGCAAGGUCUAGGUAAUCGCUAAAAGACACAUCAUGCUUGGGAUAGAUUAUUGCAAAUAUUAAUCUUGAACGAGGAAUUCCUAGUAAGCGCAAGUCAACAGCUUGCGUUGAUUACGUCCCUGCCCUUUGUACACACCGCCCGUCGCUACUACUGAUUGGAUGUUUAAGCGAGGUUCUCGAACUGCUAGCGACUUAGCUUCGGUGAGGUCGCAGUGUGGGAAGUGAACCUAGCUUUGGUGUCUAGAGGAAGUGAAAGUCGUAACA
rnacentral:rRNA from 1 species